rnacentral:rRNA from 1 species
CCUACGGGGGGCAGCAGUGGGGAAUCUUCCGCAAUGGGCGAAAGCCUGACGGAGCAACGCCGCGUGAUCGAAUGAAGGCCUUCGGGUUGUAAAGAUCUGUUGACAGGGACGAAUAAGCAAUGCGAAUAGUUUUGUGUAUGACGGUACCUGUUUAGAAAGCUCCGGCUAACUACGUGCCAGCAGCCGCGGUAAUAGGAGGGGAGCAAGCGUUGUCCGGAAUUACUGGGCGUAAAGGGUGCGUAGGCGGUCCGUUAAGUCAGCGGUAACAUUGCGGGGCUCAACCCCGUCGAGCCGUUGAAACUGGCAGACUUGAGUUGGCGAGAAGUACGCGGAAUGCGCGGUGUAGCGGUGAAAUGCAUAGAUAUCGCGCAGAACUCCGAUUGCGAAGGCAGCGUACCGGCGCCAGACUGACGCUGAGGCACGAAAGCGUGGGGAUCGAACAGGAUUAGAUACCCCAGUAGUC